AUUGAACGCUGGCGGCGUGCUCAACACAUGCAAGUCGAGCGGCAGCGCGGGAGCAAUCCUGGCGGCGAGCGGCGAACGGGUGAGUAAUGCUUCGGAAUCUGCCCUUCAGUGGGGAAUAACCAGUCGAAAGACUGGCUAAUACCGCAUACGAACUGAGGUUGAAAGCAGGGGAUCGCAAGACCUUGCGCUGAUGGAUGAGCCGAAGUCGGAUUAGCUUGUUGGUGGGGUAAUGGCCUACCAAGGCGACGAUCCGUAGCUGGUCUGAGAGGACGACCAGCCACACUGGGACUGAGACACGGCCCAGACUCCUACGGGAGGCAGCAGUGGGGAAUAUUGGACAAAUGGGGGGCAACCCUGAUCCAGCGACGCCGCGUGUGUGAAGAAGGCCUGCGGGUUGUAAAGCACUUUUAGUGGGGAGGAAGGUCUGCGACCUAACACGUCGUGGAAUUGACUUAAACGCACAGAAAAAAGCACCGGCUAACUCUGUGCCAGCAGCCG
rnacentral:rRNA from 1 species